rnacentral:rRNA from 1 species
UACGUAGGGGGCAAGCGUUGUCCGGAAUCAUUGGGCGUAAAGAGCGUGUAGGCGGCCAGAUAAGUCCGCUGUGAAAUCUCGAGGCUCAACUUCGAGCUGUCGGUGGAAACUGUCUGGCUAGAGUCCGGAAGAGGAGAAUGGAAUUCCUGGUGUAGCGGUGAAAUGCGCAGAUAUCAGGAGGAACACCCGGUGGCGAAGGCGGGUUCUCUGGGCCGUAACUGA